rnacentral:ncRNA from 1 species
UACAGAUAUCAAGAGCAGGAUUAAAUUCCUCUCCAACCUGCCCUCUCUGGCAAGGUGGAAAAAUGAUAUGGCUUUCAGCAACUAAAGGAGGAAAAAU